AAUAUUCAACUUUUCCCCCUUUUUUCUCCUUAUUUUCAGUCUGUUUUAUCUCUUGAUUAACAAGUUUGAGGAACAUGGAGCUUCUUAUGUUCAAAGAAAAUACCCGUAAAGUACUUGACUGGUGCGGACAAUUAUCACAUUAGACAGAAAUUCAUGGAGCUGACUUCAUUUUGAUUAGUUCGCUGACAGUAUGGGUUGCUCGAUUUUAAU
rnacentral:lncRNA from 1 species